AGCUGAGUGAGGUGUUGGUAUCUUGCAACGCAGAAUUUCACCUUAAAUCUCCGACGAAGCAGCGUGCGACAGUCUUCAGGGAAAGUCUUUGGGACGAUAAUCAGGAUCAUCAACAGCUUCAACGAGUUUGGCAAUGCACGACGUUGGUGGGACAGGACCACCAAUGGUAGGGCUGACGCGAGGAGGCGGGAGUUGGAGAAAGGGAGAAACAGGGUCUUCCCAAAAUGGCUGAUAUCGAGCACGUACUCCUUGAGAGUCUCGGUGGAUGGAUGGCUUCGCUCAUUCUGCAAGGAAUUCCAUGAGAGGUAUUUCAAUCGGGAACGACGAAAGCGAAGGCAGACGCGAGAGAGAAAGACGAGAAGGAAGAUGAAGAAGAAGAAGAAGAAGAAGAGGAGGAAGAAGAAGAAGACGA